AUUGAACGCUGGCGGCAGGCCUAACACAUGCAAGUCGAACGGUAGCACAGAGAGCUUGCUCUCGGGUGACGAGUGGCGGACGGGUGAGUAAUGUCUGGGAAACUGCCCGAUGGAGGGGGAUAACUACUGGAAACGGUAGCUAAUACCGCAUAAUGUCGCAAGACCAAAGAGGGGGACCUUCGGGCCUCUUGCCAUCGGAUGUGCCCAGAUGGGAUUAGCUUGUUGGUGAGGUAAUGGCUCACCAAGGCGACGAUCCCUAGCUGGUCUGAGAGGAUGACCAGCCACACUGGAACUGAGACACGGUCCAGACUCCUACGGGAGGCAGCAGUGUGGAAUAUUGCACAAUGGGCGCAAGCCUGAUGCAGCCAUGCCGCGUGUGUGAAGAAGGCCUUCGGGUUGUAAAGCACUUUCAGCGGGGAGGAAGGCGAUACGGUUAAUAACCGUGUUGAUUGACGUUACCCGCAGAAGAAGCACCGGCUAACUCCGUG
rnacentral:rRNA from 1 species